UUACCCGUCGUUUAACCGGUUUCCUCGCCUAAAAAUAACACUCCUAAACUCUUAACGAACUCCUUUUAGGGCAGGCCGUACGCCGUUUACAUGGUCACUCACGAAAUAGAGAGCUGUAGAUCGGUCUCUCUCAACCAAGACUUUAUCCAUUGCGAUUGCGAACUAAGUAAUUUCUUCAUCGGAGAAGGUGAAAACGGAUCUCAGGGUAUUUGGAUCCGUUCUCGAUGGGGAACUAUAAAACAAUAAUACUCAACUAUUUAUGCAGCAGAUUUUGUCAUGAAUAGAUCUAUGUUAGCUCCGCCUUUUUUAUGGUUCGUUCACUCUUUUGUCAGGUAAUAACAAGAUAAAUCCCAAGCAUCAUCCA